GUUCUCUUUUUUGACGCCUGCGGCCUCUUGCUGAUGACGUUUUAUUUAGGGGACGAAAGUUAGCUAGAAUCGAUAGCUAGCUACAACGCUUCAAAAUGUAUAUAUUAAUGUUUUACGCAUUGUAGCUUUGGUUUAAAGUCCCAAUCCCGCGUAGACUUCAAGUAUCGUUUCGAUCAUUUGCAGUGAAAUUCACAGAGACAGCCAGGUAGAGCUGUGCAAAGAUGGAUGUCCAGUUGUCUAUCAGCUUCCUGAGGGACAGACUGGGUGGGGCCAUUGAGGAGGCAGUGCGUACAGCAGUGGAGUCUGUGCUGUGUGAGACUGUGCGUCUGUUAACCGGGCUCCAAGGGGACCAGCAGCAUGGACUUUCUUCAGUGACCCUGAGGGACCAGGACACCCUGGGACUGAAGCAGAGGUUAGAGGCCCCCAGCGGGGGUGACUGGAGGGUGCAGGCUGGGUCUUCAGGGGCAUUCUGUAACACAGGACCGAGGGGUAGUGGUGGGUGCAGCAACACUAAGAAUCCAAUGGGUCAGACUACUUGCUCAACCUCCCAAGCAUCACAAAGGACCACUGUGGAGCCCCAACCCCAAGAGGUGGUGGAGGACUGUGCUGGACUGCCUGACCCGUUUGACCUUGUGUCGGCUGGGCCAGUGAUGGUGGACUUUGAGGAGGGUCAGGGCAUGGGGAUCCCAGAGGAGUGGGAGCUGAUGAACAGAGUGUACAAGACAGAGCACAAUGAAGACAUGGCCCUUAUUGACGGGGGCGGUAGCACUCAAUUUGCAGAUGACCACAGGCUGCAUGAAGGAGACCAGAGGACUGUGGCUGUGCCCCUGGAAGGAGAGAUGGCUGCCAAGCCCCAGGACACAUUGCACCCCUGUUUCAGCCCAGCCAACAUCAAAACAGAGCGACCUGAGAUAGAGAGAUGCUGCAUGGCUGAGGAGGCCCUUGCUCUGCCUCUGCCUCAUCCUGCCAAUAGUGGUGUGGAGGCCGGUGACUUUGGGCAGGAGCAGGUGGAGGCUGGUCCACAGGACUUUGUAGGUCGCCUGCGCCUGUGGCUGGAGCAGCUAUGUCCUGAGGUGGUCCGGGAGUACGAGAGGGAGGGCUGUCUGUGUGAGCUGUCCCGCAGGAAGCUUAUCAAGUUCUCUGUGUCCUUCAUCGUGGAGGAGUUUGGAUUCUACCCUACCUCUGCUCAGAAGACCAUGCUGGCAGAGCACAUAGUGGAGCUCUUCCCAGGACUCAGGCUCUGUGCACCCUCUGCUGGCAUCAAUGGCAUAGAACACUUGUACGACCCUUUGUCCCGUACGGGUUACAUUGAGACGCGCCUGCGCAACUCUCGACGCACCCUUGAAGACCACAAGAAGAAGUAUGUGCUGAAGAGGCGUCGGCCAGAGCCAGGCCUAGCGGACCCUCCUGGACCUAGAUCGGGGCCUGGGCUCCUGGAGAGACAGUCCAGCGAGGAGACCCAGAGGUGGAUGGAGCUGAUGAAGAGAACCAGGCCCCUGACCAGGAACCUGCCUGCCAUCCACAGUGCUAUGGACCUCACAUUCAACGCACGCAGGAGAUGGAUCAGCAACACACGGCCUAGUAUGAGGGCUGUGCUGGCUGAGUACCCACGUUUUCUUGACGUUCCCGCCACGAUUGACCUGGAGUUUGAGAGGAUGUUCCCAGGUAAAGGCCACUCCUUCCUGGCCCAGUGGUCGUCGUUCGUGUUGCCCAGGGUGUACCAGAUUGCAGAGUGUGAAAAACACCCGGACAUCUCUGCACUUCUCCAACUGGCUGCCACACAGCAAGGAGACUCCUACACCCUGACUAUGCUGAAGGUCCUGAUCUAUGUACUAACAUCAACAAACACCAGUAGAGCCUCCUUACCCUCCAGGAGCAGUGUCAGGCAGGUCAUUCGGUAUCUGGUGGACAUUGUACCGAUAGACACCAUGGUGUCCUCCUUAUUCUGUGACCGUACCUCCUUGGAGGGCCCAGAGUCUGUGUCCCACGCUCAGCCCUACAUAUUGAGCGUGGGGCCCCUGGAGGCCCCUGGCCGGCAGCUUUGUAUCGUGUUCCCUGUUGAUAGGAUUGCAAUCCCCCUGCCUCAGGAGGGCCUGAGCAAUGCACUGGACAAGCUUUUCAAGCUUCUGCGUGUGUUUGAACUGGGGUACCCAGAUCAGCUAGCCUCCCUGUAUGGCUUCCUUGAGCACCUGUAUGGGCUGGAGAUGACCCCACAAGAUAACCAUGACUCCCCCAGUGGCAAGGGGUCAAAAGUGCUUGAACUUUUAUCACGGCUCCACAUGCCCUCCUGACAGAAGGCAUAGGUCUACACAAGAAUUGAACUCGCCCCACAGACUUACCUUUUAUUUUUUUGAUUGAUAUUUUAUUAUAGCCAUCCUUUACUAUGUUCUGGAUUUGCCCCAAAAUUAAAGUAUGUCGGACUGAACUGAACACUGGUGUUAUACCUUCAUUAUACCGUACCAGUCAAAAGUUUGGACACACCUAAUCAUUCAAGGGUUUUUCUUUAUUUUUACUAUUUUCUACAUUGGAUGUAUUCACUAUUAUUCUACAAACUAUGAAAUAACACGUAUGGCAUCAUGUAAUAAGGAAUUUCUUUCCUUAAUGCAUUUGAGCCAAUCAGUUGUGUUGUAGGGGUGGUAUACAGAAGAUAUACCUACUUGGUAAAAUACAAAGUCCAUAUUAUGGCAAGAAUAGCUCAAAUAAGCAAAGAGUUAGCAAAAAGAGAGUCCAUCAUUACUUUAAGACAUGAAGGUAGGUAAAUCUGGAAAAUGUAAAAAAAACGUUUAAAAUUACUUCAAGUGCAGUCACUAAAACCAUUAAGCGCUAUGAUGAAACUGGUUCUCAUGAGGACCGCCACAGGAAAGGAAGACCCAGAGUUACCUCUGCUGCAGAGGAUAAGUUCAUUAGAGUUACCAGCCUCAGAAAUUGCGGCCCAAAUAAAUGCUUCACAGAGUUCAAGUAACAGACAUCUCAACAUCAACUGUUCAGGGGAGACUGCGUGAAUCAGGCCUUCAUGGUCAAAUUGCUGCAAAUAAACCAGUACUAAAGGACACCAAUAAGGAGAAGAGACUUGCUUGUGCAAAGAAACACGAGCAAUGGACAUUAGACCGGUGGAAUUCUGUCCUUUGGUCUGAUGAGUCCGAAGUUGAGAUUUUUGGUUCCAACCGCCGUGUCUUUGUGAGACGCAGAGUAGGUGAACAGAUGAUCUUUGCAUGUGUGGUUCCCACCGUGAAACAUGGAGGUGGUGUGGUGGUGCUUUGCUGGUGACACUGUCAGUGCUUUAUUUAGAAUUCAAGGCACACUUAACCAGCAUGGCUACCACAGCAUUCUGCAGCGAUACAAGGGCUAUUUGACCAAGAAGGAGAGUGAUGUAGUGCUGCAUCAAAUGACCUGGCCUCCACAAUCACCGACCUCAACUCAAUUGAGAUGGUUUGGGAUGAGUUGGACCGCAGAGUGAAGAAAAAGCAGCCAACAAGUGCUCAGCAUAUGUGGGAACUCCUUCAAGACUGUUGGAAAAUCUUUCCUCAUGAAGCUGGUUGAGAGAAUGCCAAGAGUGUGCAAAGCUGUCGAGGCAAAGGGUGGCUACUUUGAAGAAUAUAAAAUAAACUUCCCUGUGGCUCAGUUGGUAGAGCAUGGUGUGUGCAACGCCAGGGUUGUGGGUUCGAUUCCCACGGGGGGCCAGUACCAAAAAAAAUAUAUUUUUUAAAUGCAUGAAAUAAAAUGUAUGCAUUCACUACUGUAAGUUGCUCUGGAUAAGAGCGUCUGCUAAAUAACUAAAAUGUAAAUGUUAACAAAUCCAAAAUUAUUUUAGCCUCUAUGGGCUAGGUGGGACGCUUGCGUCCCACCUACUCAACAGCCACUUUAAGCCUGUGGCGCGAUUUUCAAAACCUUAAAUCCGAUUACUUCAAUUUCUCAAACAUAUGACUAUUUUACAGCUAUUUAAAGACAAGACUCUCGUUAAUCUAACCACACUGUCCGAUUUCAAAAAGGCUUUACAACGAAAGCAAAACAUUAGAUUAUGUCAGCAGAGUACCAAGCCAGAAAUAAUCAGACACCCAUUUUUCAAGCCAGCAUAUAAUGUCACCAAAACCCAGAAGACAGCUAAAUGCAGCACUCACCUUUGAUGAUCUUC
rnacentral:lncRNA from 1 species